rnacentral:rRNA from 1 species
AACGAACGCUGGCGGCAUGCCUAACACAUGCAAGUCGAACGAGACCUUCGGGUCUAGUGGCGCACGGGUGCGUAACGCGUGGUAACCUGCCCUUAGGUUCGGAAUAACUCCCCGAAAGGGGUGCUAAUACCGGUUAAUGUCUUCGGACCAAAGAUUUGUCGCCUUUGGAUGGGCCCGCGUUGGAUUAGCUUGUUGGUAGGGUAAAAGCCUACCAAGGCGACGAUCCAUAGCUGGUUUGAGAGGAUGAUAAGCCACACUGGGACUGAGACACGGCCCAGACUCCUACGGGAGGCAGCAGUGGGGAAUAUUGGAAAAUGGGCGAAAGCCUGAUCCAGCAAUGCCGCGUGAGUGAUGAAGGCCUUAGGGUUGUAAAGCUCUUUUACCCGGGAUGAUAAUGACAGUACCGGGAGAAUAAGCUCUGGCUAACUCCGUG